rnacentral:rRNA from 1 species
UACGUAGGUGGCAAGCGUUGUCCGGAAUUAUUGGGCGUAAAGCGCGCGUAGGCGGCUACCUAAGUCGGAUGUGAAAGCCCCUGGCUUAACCGGGGAAGUGCACCCGAAACUGGGUAGCUAGAGUGCAAAAGAGGGUCGCGGAAUUCCCAGUGUAGAGGUGAAAUUCGUAGAUAUUGGGAGGAACACCGGUGGCGAAGGCGGCGACCUGGGUUGACACUGACGCUCAUGCACGAAAGCGUGGGGAGCAAACAGG